rnacentral:rRNA from 1 species
GUACGAAGGGGAGCUAGCGUUGUUCGGAAUCACUGGGCGUAAAGGGCGCGUAGGCGGCUUUAUAAGUCGGGGGUGAAAGCCUGUGGCUCAACCACAGAAUUGCCUUCGAUACUGUAGAGCUUGAGACCGGAAGAGGUAAGUGGAACUGCGAGUGUAGAGGUGAAAUUCGUAGAUAUUCGCAAGAACACCAGUGGCGAAGGCGGCUUACUGGUCCGGAACUGACGCUGAGACGCGAAAGCGUGGGGAGCAAACAGG